CACUUGUGUGAACAGCACGUUUUCGUACAUUUCACAUUGUUGACCUACAUAACGCUUCGUUCAAAAUGACGAAAACACAAAACAAAGUUCCAUCAAAUGAAGAACUACUUUAAUCAUUAAAAAGCUGAAAAGCAAUUAUAUCAACACCGACAUAUACAUUAACCCAGGAGCAUAUAAUUAAAAGCUGCCUUAUGUCUAAUUUGGUAAUUUUGGAAAACUGAUAAAAAAGUAGGCCAACUGUGAAAUGGGUUGCGCAACGUUACAGUUUUGAUGCGCCCUUUCACAUUUGAAAGUUGAAGACGCAGCUGUUGAAGACCGACUUUGAAAGACAUUCUACGGACAUUAAGGAGUUAACAGAAGACUAAGGUUGAGAAACAUGAAGAAUAGGGCGGUAGUCGUCAUGUGUAGACAAAUAAUUUAUAGACGGGACAGAGGACGCAGAUGAAUAUCCUUAAAGAACUGACAUCUCAAAGAAUGUGGAAGUGCAGGAAGGUUUUCAACGACGCCUCGAAAUCGAUGCCUCGGCAUAGCAUGAUUUGACGUGCUUAGAAACCGUUAUUACUUAUGGUUGUUGUGGCACGCAGGCGGUGCGGUGUGUAGGUCUAAAUGCACGCGGACGACUUACAAAUAUUGGCCAUAAACCCCGUGAAUGACCUCUUUGCUAAAGGUCAAAUUUCUUGUCUAACAGAAAGUACAAUUCCGCAUCACCCACAUGAAAGUUGCCAAAUGUUUGCCAUUGUUUACAUAAAGUUGACCAGAGGUCAGUGUAGCAGACAAACAUAAGGAGGACAUUGUUUUACAGAAAUGUUUUUAUUAUUGAUGAAAGUCCACUGCUUGGAAUAGAAAUAAAAUCAUAAACACAU